rnacentral:rRNA from 1 species
AUGGACACCUUCUUCUUGUCGCACGGCUCGCCCUUGCUGUCCAUCGACGAGACGAUCCCGGCGCAGAGCUUCUUCAAGUCGUGGCUGCCAGCGGCCGUCGUGGUCCCGGAGCUGCGGCGCUCCAUCCUGGUGGUGUCGGCGCACUGGGAGACGGACGCCCCGGACAUCCGCGUCAUCCGCAGCAACAACGACACCAUCUACGACUGGCUGAAGAGUGGUAGCCCUUUGUGUCGUUUGUCACUAAAGUAUCCUGCGCCCGGAGCUCCUAAUCUGGCCAAGAGAACCAAAGAGCUAGUGGAGUAGGCUGGGUUCAGGCCGGUGAGAGAGGACCACAGCCGCGGGCUCGACCAUGGCGCAUGGGUGCCCUUGAUGUUCAUGUACCCGAAGGCUGACAUCCCGGUGUGCCAGCUCUCCGUGCAGACCCAUCGCAACGGCACCUACCACUACAACCCGGGCAAGGUGCUGGCUCCCCUCAGGGGCGAAGGCGUCCUCGUCCUCGGCUCCGGCAGUGCGACGCACAACCUCGGCAAGAUGGGGCGCGACGACGAACUGGUGCUGCAGUGGGCCUCCGACUUCGACACUUGGCUCAGGGACCCGCUUCUCGUCGGGAGGUACAACGACGUGAACCACUACGAGGAGAAGGCGCCGCACGCCAAGACGGCGCACCCGUCGCCGGAGCAUUUCUACCCGCUGCUCGUCGCGCUCGGCGCCGCCGAGGACGAGCCCAAGUGGCCCUGCAUCCACCAUAGCUGGGCCGAAGCCAACAUGCCAUACGCCUCGUACCGUUUCACCACAAAGGACUAG